CCUCCGUCCCUAAAAUAACUUCCUCUUUUUCCAUUUUGGGACGUCCCCCAAAUAACUUCCUCUUUCUUUCUUUCCAUUUUUGGAAACAUACCCCACCACUAAUAAUACUUUAUUUAUUCUUACUUUUCACUUUUCACCACUCCCAAUACUAAUUAUAACAUUUUUCACAACUUCCAAUAAUAAUUAUAUCACUUUUUCUCCACUAUCAAUACACUUUACAACUUUUUAUUAAAACCCGUGCCGCCCCUAAAGAGGAAGCCAUUUCAGGGACGGAGGG
rnacentral:lncRNA from 1 species